GACGAACGCUGGCGGCGUGCUUAACACAUGCAAGUCGAACGGAAAGGCCCUGCUUUUGUGGGGUGCUCGAGUGGCGAACGGGUGAGUAACACGUGAGUAACCUGCCCUUGACUUUGGGAUAACUUCAGGAAACUGGGGCUAAUACCGGAUAGGAGCUCCUGCUGCAUGGUGGGGGUUGGAAAGUUUCGGCGGUUGGGGAUGGACUCGCGGCUUAUCAGCUUGUUGGUGGGGUAGUGGCUUACCAAGGCUUUGACGGGUAGCCGGCCUGAGAGGGUGACCGGCCACAUUGGGACUGAGAUACGGCCCAGACUCCUACGGGAGGCAGCAGUGGGGAAUAUUGCACAAUGGGCGGAAGCCUGAUGCAGCGACGCCGCGUGCGGGAUGACGGCCUUCGGGUUGUAAACCGCUUUCGCCUGUGACGAAGCGUGAGUGACGGUAAUGGGUAAAGAAGCACCGGCUAACUACGUGCCAGCAGCCGCGGUGAUACGUAGGGUGCGAGCGUUGUCCGGAUUUAUUGGGCGUAAAGGGCUCGUAGGUGGUUGAUCGCGUCGGAAGUGUAAUCUUGGGGCUUAACCCUGAGCGUGCUUUCGAUACGGGUUGACUUGAGGAAGGUAGGGGAGAAUGGAAUUCCUGGUGGAGCGGUGGAAUGCGCAGAUAUCAGGAGGAACACCAGUGGCGAAGGCGGUUCUCUGGGCCUUUCCUGACGCUGAGGAGCGAAAGCGUGGGGAGCGAACAGGCUUAGAUACCCUGGUAGUCCACGCUGUAAACGGUGGGUACUAGGUGUGGGGUCCAUUCCACGGGUUCCGUGCCGUAGCUAACGCUUUAAGUACCCCGCCUGGGGAGUACGGCCGCAAGGCUAAAACUCAAAGGAAUUGACGGGGCCCCGCACAAGCGGCGGAGCAUGCGGAUUAAUUCGAUGCAACGCGUAGAACCUUACCUGGGUUUGACAUGGAUCGGGAGCGCUCAGAGAUGGGUGUGCCUCUUUUGGGGUCGGUUCACAGGUGGUGCAUGGCUGUCGUCAGCUCGUGUCGUGAGAUGUUGGGUUAAGUCCCGCAACGAGCGCAACCCUUGUUCACUGUUGCCAGCACGUUAUGGUGGGGACUCAGUGGAGACCGCCGGGGUCAACUCGGAGGAAGGUGGGGAUGACGUCAAGUCAUCAUGCCCCUUAUGUCCAGGGCUUCACGCAUGCUACAAUGGCUGGUACAGAGAGUGGCGAGCCUGUGAGGGUGAGCGAAUCUCGGAAAGCCGGUCUCAGUUCGGAUUGGGGUCUGCAACUCGGCCUCAUGAAGUCGGAGUCGCUAGUAAUCGCAGAUCAGCAACGCUGCGGUGAAUACGUUCCCGGG
rnacentral:rRNA from 1 species